rnacentral:rRNA from 1 species
GAAGAACGCUGGCGGCGUGCUUAACACAUGCAAGUCGAGCGGAAAGGCUCCUUCGGGAGUACUCGAGCGGCGAACGGGUGAGUAACACGUGGGUAAUCUGCCCAGGACACAGGAAUAACCAGUGGAAACGCUGGCUAAUGCCUGAUGAUGUGCCAACCCCUCGGGGGAGGUACCAAAGGUAGCUUCGGCCUCCGGUCUUGGAUGAGCCCGCGGCCCAUUAGCUUGUUGGCGGGGUAACGGCCCACCAAGGCGACGAUGGGUAGCUGGUCUGAGAGGACGAUCAGCCACACUGGGACUGAGACACGGCCCAGACUCCUACGGGAGGCAGCAGUGGGGAAUCUUGCGCAAUGGGCGAAAGCCUGACGCAGCAACGCCGCGUGCGGGAAGAAGGUCUUAGGGUUGUAAAGUACUUUCAGCGGGGAGGAAGGCGGUGAAGUUAAUAGCUUCACCGAUUGACGUUACCCGCAGAAGAAGCACCGGCUAACUCCGUGCCAGCCGCCGCGGUAA